AUUUCCAAUACUUUGCUUUUGCAGGAUGUCUUGAAACAAAUUUUGCUGUCGUUUUCCAAUGAAUAUCUCAUAGCAUCUCAACCAAUUCAACAUAGUUUGUGCAGCCACAAAUACAAAGUUUCUGGGGUAUAACUACUUUUAAAUCCUGCCAAUGUCUACCUUGAAUGGAAGACUCAAAAUCCCAGCGGAGGAUUGUGGAAGGGCCCAUCGCCAAGGCAAAGAUGCUGCGCCAAGAAAGGCUGAGCUGCUCACUCUGGAACAUUGCAGCAUCAGCUGAUUUUGUGGUUCAGUGAUAUUCGAAUCGGCUCUCCAUCUCAACAUAUAGGUCAAUCUAUUCGCAGCCUCUCUCUGGGAAUCCCCUGCCCAGAUGCUUUUCGUAGAAUCGCAGGCCCUGAGGACACAAAGAGACCUAAACACGAGAAAAGGAGGGUGGAUAGUGUAAAUAAAAACCCUAUACCCAGCGAUAUGGGGCAGGUGGGGCUGUGGAGGUAUGUACGUAUAAAAACUCCCUAUGGACGGAUUGUCAUAUGUUGUAGAAUAGAAAUGAGGUGCUUCAAUGGAUUGUUCAACUGCUUAG
rnacentral:lncRNA from 11 species